rnacentral:rRNA from 1 species
CACGUAGGGCGCGAGCGUUGUCCGGAAUUAUUGGGCGUAAAGAGCUCGUAGGCGGCCUGUUGCGUCCGCUGUGAAAGCCCGGGGCUUAACCCCCGGGUCGGCAGUGGAUACGGGCAGGCUAGAGGUAGGUAGGGGAGAAUGGAAUUCCCGGUGUAGCGGUGAAAUGCGCAGAUAUCGGGUAGAACACCAGUGGCGAAGGCGGCUAUCUGGACGACAACUGACGCUGAGACGCGAAAGCGUGGGGAGCAAACAGG